AUGAGCCUCGGGCUCCUGUGCUGUGGGGCCUUUUCUCUCCUGUGGGCAGGUCCAGUGAAUGCUGGUGUCACUCAGACCCCAAAAUUCCGGGUCCUGAAGACAGGACAGAGCAUGACACUGCUGUGUGCCCAGGAUAUGAACCAUGAAUACAUGUACUGGUAUCGACAAGACCCAGGCAUGGGGCUGAGGCUGAUUCAUUACUCAGUUGGUGAGGGUACAACUGCCAAAGGAGAGGUCCCUGAUGGCUACAAUGUCUCCAGAUUAAAAAAACAGAAUUUCCUGCUGGGGUUGGAGUCGGCUGCUCCCUCCCAAACAUCUGUGUACUUCUGUGCCAGCAGUUACUC